rnacentral:rRNA from 1 species
AGAGUUUGAUCCUGGCUCAGAUUGAACGCUGGCGGCAUGCUUUACACAUGCAAGUCGAACGGCAGCACGGGAGCUUGCUCCUGGUGGCGAGUGGCGAACGGGUGAGUAAUGCAUCGGAACGUGCCCAGUCGUGGGGGAUAACUAGUCGAAAGAUUAGCUAAUACCGCAUACGACCUGAGGGUGAAAGCAGGGGAUCUUCG